rnacentral:rRNA from 1 species
GGACGAACGCUGGCGGCGUGCCUAAUACAUGCAAGUCGAGCGAUCUGGAGGUUGGAGAUUAGAGGUUAGAAGUUAGACGAAACCAAUCGGCGAAGCCGAUUGGAUGAAUCUGAUUUCCAACUUCCAAUCUCCAACUUCCAGGGAGCGGCGGACGGGUGAGUAACACGUGGGCAACCUGCCCGCAAGACCGGGAUAACUCCGGGAAACCGGGGCUAAUACCGGAUGAUGCCUCUUCCUGCAUGGGAGGAUGCUGAAAGGCGGCCUUUGGCUGUCACUUGCGGAUGGGCCCGCGGCGCAUUAGCUGGUUGGUGAGGUAACGGCUCACCAAGGCGACGAUGCGUAGCCGACCUGAGAGGGUGAYCGGCCACACUGGGACUGAGACACGGCCCAGACUCCUACGGGAGGCAGCAGUAGGGAAUUUUCCGCAAUGGGCGCAAGCCUGACGGAGCAACGCCGCGUGAGUGAGGACGGCUUUCGGGUUGUAAAACUCUGUUCUUCGGGAAGAACGGUCGAAGGGUGAACAAUCCUUUGGCRUGACGGUACCGGAGGAGAAAGCCCCGGCUAACUACGU